UCAGUGUUGAAUGCCUACACAGAAGGGAACCAUUGGUUGUCAUCAAACCAGAACUAGCGGCAAAGCUAUGUAUACUCUGACUAUAUACAUACACCAGAAGAAGACAUCUGAAGGAACUGAAGGUACAGUGAUUAAUAAUUAUGCCUUGUUGGGGAUACAUUUACUGUCUGGCUCUUCAUUGGAUUGUCUAAGGAGGGAAUUAAGACUGUUGUGAUACCAGUUGGCGCUCUUCAUCGGUCCCGGCUCAGUGACGAAACAGAAUUGGAUCAACACCGAGAGGGAGGAAAGCCAACAGAGCAGCCCGUUUAGCAUCACCGUCUGAAUCCUCAUCUACUCUCGCAUCGACGGUCUUAUCUUCAUCAUCC